rnacentral:rRNA from 1 species
AACGAACGUUGGCGGCGUGGAUUAGGCAUGCAAGUCGUACGAGAUCCGGGGGUAACUCCGGGUCGAGUGGCGAACGGGUGAGUAUCGCGUGGGAAACCUGCCCUCGAGUGGGGGAUAACACUUCCAACGGAGUGCUAAUACCGCAUAAGACCACGGAGUCGCAUGGCUCUGAGGUCAAAGGUGGCCUCUACUUGUAAGCUACCGCUUGAGGAGGGUCCCGCGUCCCAUUAGCUAGAUGGUGAGGUAAAAGCUCACCAUGGCGACGAUGGGUAGCUGGUCUGAGAGGAUGGUCAGCCACACUGGGACUGAGAUACGGCCCAGACUCCUACGGGAGGCAG